CGUAAGUAAAAAGCUGACAAGCAGCUUACGUAAAUAAUGUCAACGCAACAAUAAAAAUAAUAAACGAAUUAGCUGCUUAUUCAAGGGCCAUGACCCGAGGGCUCUUGCUAAAAAAGCGGGUGCUAAGGUCGCACAAAAAGGCAAAUCCCCCGGACAAACAUUCAAAUUGACUUGGCGACUCUGAGAGCGCUUGUUGGGUUUACAAUUUCAAAGGGCGACCCCGCAACACCCGAAACACCCGCAACAUCAGGACUCUCGCCCGACUCCUGCGAGUCCUGUGACUCCUGCGACAUUUGUAACUCUAGUCUAUUUGUCUGCGCUGGAUGGAAAUGGUGAAUGGUGAUGGUAAUGGUGAAUUGUAAAUGGUGAAUGCUGAACGGUGAACGGUGGAUCCUACAUGGGAAGCGGAAAGCGGCGACGGGUGCAAGGACGUUAAGAUGUUUAUGGCUUGUCAAGGAUUAUUGUUAUCACCAGCUAGCCAGGUAUGCAAACAAACGACUUUGGCCCCGUCCCGCGUCGCCCAAAAAAGCUGAGAAGCUGCUUUCCCCAGCUUUCCACGCUCUCUGUCAUGUAAUUGCCGUGUAACAGAGAUGGCAACCGAGACCCACAGAUCCCCGACAGACUAUCCUCAGACUUGGUGAAUGGGGGUCGUGGAUGAGCCGGGAUGCGGGAUGCGGGGCACCCCAUGUCUGGCCGGAGCCACAGCUUCAGUUUUAAUCUUGCCCAACCCGAGCCAGAGAAAACAACCAAAAAAAAAAAGGGGGGAAAACAAAAAGUGUAAAGAAAAACUAUGGGAAAUGUAAAAUGUUAUUAGAGCUGCGAAAACGAGAGUGGUGGGUACUCAGUGAGGGGUAGCUCAAGGUAGCUUUGUUUCGGUUUCGGUUCCUGUGAAGGUGUAAAAUAAACAAUGGGUAGAGGGGCUUAAGCUAAAACUCAAUUGAAAAAGGGUUUUGUUGGUUUUUUAAGGUGCUACCUUUGAUUGUAUAUAAAUUAAGGUGGACACCCCAACAGCAAUUACAUUCAUUCGCUCGCUUUUCAUAAAAAUAUCCUAAGCAUCUUUCUAGGUAAUAACGCAAGGUAAUCAGUUGAAUAGCACACACAUAGUAAGCAUUUACUUAUAAUUAAAAAUUAGAAGUAUUCAUUUUAUUCAGCACCCAUUAAUAUUAUAUUUGAAACUGAUUUACCAUUGCUGGUAUUUCUGAAUUGUAAUCGAUUGCGGCUAGAGGUAAUCUCUCUUGCCCAUUUUAGGCUGCCGCCGGAGCGAAGCGGAGCGGAUGGUGGAAAUGAAGCAGAUGGAGCAAGCCAAGAUCCAGUUGGACAUGUAGCUGGAGUGGGAGCAGGAGCUGGAGCAGGAGCAGGACCAGGAGCAGGAGCUGGAGCGCCGAAAAGCUGGCAAGUCAUGAACUGUGACAAAAGGAUUACAAGAAGGAUUCUGGCGGAGCUGGUUUCGUGGCUCUGGCCAGUGCAGUUUAUAGGUUAAAUGAGAUUAAUUCCGAGAUUAAGCAGGACACAACAAUGGUCGCCGCAGGGAUCUGGAUGUCCUUUACCCGUGUGUGUGUGGUGUGCAUGUGUGUGCUAACACCCCUUCACACUUAUCCUGUCUGGUGGCUUUCAAUUCAUUCGCUCGCCUGUCGAUUUAGUCAACGUGCAAAUUUAUUAGAUUAACAGCAAAUAUCAAAUAGGAAAUUAA